rnacentral:rRNA from 1 species
CAAGUCGAACGAGAAAGUGGAGCAAUCCAUGAGUAAAGUGGCGACCGGGUGAGCAACACGUGACUAACCUACCCUCGAGUGUGGAAUAACCCCGGGAAACCGGGGCUAAUACCGCAUAACAUCGCGAGAUCAAAGGAGCAAUCCGCUUGAGGAGGGGGUCGCGGCUGAUUAGCUAGUUGGCGGGGUAACGGCCCACCAAGGCGAAGAUCGGUAUCCGGCCUGAGAGGGCGCACGGACACACUGGAACUGAAACACGGUCCAGACUCCUACGGGAGGCAGCAGUGGGGAAUUUUGCGCAAUGGGGGAAACCCUGACGCAGCAACGCCGCGUGGAGGAUGAAGCCCUUUGGGGCGUAAACUCCUUUCGACCAAGACGAUAAUGACGGUACUGGUGGAAGAAGCACCGGCUAACUCUGUGCCAGCAGCCGCGGUAAUACAGAGGGUGCAAGCGUUGUUCGGAAUUAUUGGGCGUAAAGGGCGCGUAGGCGGCGCGGUAAGUCACCUGUGAAAUCUCCAAGCUUAACUUGGAGCCUGCAGGCGAAACUGCCGUGCUG